UAGCUCAGCUGGUAGAGUGCUUGCCUUGCAUGCACAAGGCCCUGGGUUCAAUCCCCAG
rnacentral:tRNA from 1 species